GACCGCUCCGGUGGCCUAGUGGUUAGAGCGUCCGCCUCGGAUGCGGGAGGUUGUGGGUUCGAUUUCCGGCUGAGUCA